AAUGAAUAAAGUUGGGCUGGCUUUAGGACCAUGCAGACACCUCGGUGUGGGCGGGAAGACUGUUUGCCUGACUGCAGUGAACAGCACGACUUUUCUCGCAUAACAGUGCAGAGGUGGAAGAUGGCAGUAAUUGACUAGGUCCCGGAUGAUUACAGAUGUCCUCUCUGUCAGACCCUCGAAAGCUGGCACCCAUUCAUCAGCUGUUGGCAAGAGAUGGCCAGACAGACUUGUCAAAACGCAACAUCCGAAGAAAUCUCAGUGCCCCAUCCCUAUAUGUCAUCACAACUAGGGCUGCCUGCAUGGAUUGAGUUAGAACAUUGACGUGCAGCUGGCCAGCAUAGUCAACCCUGAAGGGAUUGCUUUAAUUACAUAAGCAUUGUGCUAAUGGUCCCUGGCUCAAACCACUCUUGACAAUUUAGGUCCUUGGUGUUGUCAGACUUAAACCAAAGCUUUUUACAUAAUGGCUCGUCAUGGAAAGUGUGAUACAGCUAGCAAGCUUUCAUGCCAUCCUCCUCCUUAUCUACCCAGAUAUUGUGUGUGUGUGUGUGUGUGUGUGUGUCUGGGAUCAAAAUAUUGAAUGCCAGACCCUCCUGGACCCCAGUACUCACAGCCCUCCUUGCAGUACUCGACCCCAUAGCC